rnacentral:rRNA from 1 species
AGCGAACGCUGGCGGCAGGCUUAACACAUGCAAGUCGAGCGCCCACUUCGGUGGGAGCGGCAGACGGGUGAGUAACACGUGGGAACGUGCCCUUCAGUUCGGAACAACCCAGGGAAACUUGGGCUAAUACCGGAUACGCCCUUACGGGAAAGAUUUAUCGCUGAAGGAUCGGCCCGCGUCUGAUUAGCUAGUUGGUGGGGUAAUGGCCCACCAAGGCUACGAUCAGUAGCUGGUCUGAGAGGAUGAUCAGCCACACUGGGACUGAGACACGGCCC